GUGCCAGCAGCCGCGCGGUAAUACCAGCCCCGCGAGUGGUCGGGACGAUUAUUGGGCCUAAAGCGUCCGUAGCCGGCCCGGCAAGUCCCCCUUUAAAGCCCACGGCUCAACCGUGGGAGCGGGGGGAUACUGUCGGGCUAGGGGGCGGGAGAGGCCGGGGGUACUCCUGGGGUAGGGGCGAAAUCCUAUAAUCCCAGGAGGACCACCAGUGGCGAAGGCGCCCGGCUGGAACGCGCCCGACGGUGAGGGACGAAAGCUGGGGGAGCAAAGGGGAUUAGAUACCCCCGUAGUCCCAGCUGUAAACGAUGCGGGCUAGGUGUUGGGUGGGCCUCGAGCCCGCCCAGUGUCGUAGGGAAGCCGUUAAGCCCGCCGCCUGGGGAGUACGGCCGCAAGGCUGAAACUUAAAGGAAUUGGCGGGGGGGCACCACAAGGGGUGAAGCUUGCGGUUUAAUUGGAGUCAACGCCGGAAACCUCACCGGGGGCGACAGCAGGAUGAAGGCCAGGCUAACGACCUUGCCAGACGAGCUGAGAGGAGGUGCAUGGCCGUCGCCGGCUCGUGCCGUGAGGUGUCCUGUUAAGUCAGGGAACGAGCGAGACCCCCGCCCCUAGUUGCAACCCAGCCUUUCGGGGCUGGGGCACUCUAGGGGGACU
rnacentral:rRNA from 1 species